AGCAUAUCAGUAGGUGGAGAAAAGGCAAUAAUGAUUGCUUUCUGAGUACUUGCGGACGAAAAGAAGAAGGCACAUAAUCACAUUUGGCUGGUGUCCAAGUUGUAGUUUCAUGCACUUGUCCGACAAACCCUUGACAUAAGCUCAUUGGAACUGGGCGCCACAGCGGGUUAGAGUCCCACGUGUGGCCUGUUGGGAUUUGUGAAAGGGGUGCUUUGAUUGAGUUGCGCUUCUUUGGAAUGGGGUGUGAAUCUGGUGGUACGUGUCACCCAAUGCACAGCGAUGCUGGGACUGAUAGUGAACAAGUACCAUGAGGGAAUGGUGAAAAGAACUUUGGAAAGAGAGGCAAGCAGUGCAUGUGAUUUCAGUGGGCAAAGGGAGUUUGAUUGAUGACUUGUUUUCUGAUUGCGCUGCCUGCGUGCGCGCUGCGCAGUUAGAACUGCAUUGCGCAUCAAGCAGCGUGCUUCUGAUUUUGCGUGUCCUAACUGUGCGCGUUGGGAACAUUUCCUUGGUGAGGUCAUGUUCUUGCGCUUGGCUUCAUUGACUGUCAGUACCCAACGUACGCAAGUGUCGUGUUGUGAGAACAUGAGGCUCCAGGACCUGUCAUUGAAACCUCGCCCGUCUUGAAACACGGAUCAAGGAGUCUGGUGUGUGUGCAAGUCAUAGUGUUGUAGACCUCAGGGCGGAGAGAGGUUGUUUGCUGGCACAUGCUGCCCCAGCGCCCAACAACAAGGAUGGAACCUUGAGUUUGAGCGCAUGCAUCUGGACCCGAAAGGUGGUGAACUAUGCUUGUGAGAAGUAAAGUCAGAGGAAACUCUGAUGGAAGCAUGCAGUGGUACUGACGUGCAAAUCGUUCACCUGACUUGGGUGUAGGGGCGAAAGACUAAUCGAACCACCUGGUAGCUGGUUCCCUCCGAAGUUUCCCUCAGGAUAGCUGCAGCAUUGUGAGGUUUGUUGGGUAGAGCAAAUGAUGUGAGGAAGUGGGGCGUGCAACCCCAGACCUCCCCUCAAACUCUUAAUGGGCAAGCUCUGUGGAUCACUUUGCUAGCUUCAAGAGGUGCACCCCGAUGCUUGGAGUGGGCCACUUUUGGUAAGCAGAACUGGUGAUGAGGGAUGCCCCUUUUGCUGGGCUAGAGUGCCAAACUGCGUGCUAAAGACCUAACACAAAGGGUGUUGGUUCAUUCUGACAGCAGGGCGGUGGUCAUGGAAGUUGAAAUUCGCCAAGGAGUGUGUAACAACUCACCUGCCGAAUGGACUAGCCCUGAAAAUGGAUGGCGCUCAAACACUUGACUGAUUCCCAGCCACCACAGUAAUUGCUGUGGGUGUGUAGGGGGGCAUGGUGAUUGUGUGAAAGCCAAUGUUGUGAAUAAUGGUGAAGGGUGUUGCCAGUGCAA
rnacentral:rRNA from 1 species